GCUGAGAUGUCCCUGGAGGACAUAGAACAACAAGACUAUGAUGUUUCUGACACUGAGAGAGUCAGAGCCUUGUCCCAGUCUCUAGACCUGCCUGUCUGUGUGAUGGAUGACCACCUGACCUCUGAAGCUGUCAAUGAGAUGGAGCAGAGCAAUUCUACCAGGAGUAGAGCAACCUCAGUGAUGGAAACCACAGAAGAGGGGAAGCUCAACAAUGUGGAACAUCUGACACUUAUGGACUUCCUUCAAAACCUAACUGAGAAGUAUGUUCUGUUUUCUUUGGUACUAUCACACCUUCAAGGAAAUAAGAUCAAAUUAGAAACUGAUCAAUCGGGAAAAAAAAAUUCAUUGCUAGAAAAGUUGUCACAUUGCAAUUUUGCCAAAACAACUGACACAAAGCAAGUAUAACUUCACGAUCAGGCAAAUAAUUAAAUAAAAACAAUUCUGCCACGCAUCCUGAUAUGACAACAUUUAUAACAAUAUUGUUUUCAGGCAAUGGAGGGGGAUUCGUGAGGGCAUGUUUGACCCGCUGACAAAACAACAGCUUGCCGGCUUGUGUCUGAGGAUUGUCCAGUUUUUAUCGGACAAGCUGAUGCAGAUCAUCAUCCCAGGUCUUUACGAACUACUGGGCAUCCAAGAUGCUGCCUCCUCUCCAUUGUCACAGAGAUCUCUCACAGCGUCACUCACCAGUCUGUUAGACGAUAAGACUAACACCAAGUCCCGCGUGAGAUUUACUGAGGCUGGUGUACCUAAGAGGCCAGGCAGUCGAAAGUCUUACAAUAGCUUUCGCAUCCCGACUCCCUACCCUUCCUCCAACUGUAUGGAGCAGGAAGAGGAAGAAGAGCAGGAAUCACAACUUAAGUUCAAGGAGAUUUACCUGACUAAGGGCAGUGGAAGCUACCUGCCCAAGGGGGCCAUGAGGUAUGUUCUUAAAGGGAAAUUUAACAACUUCAUAUUCAUCUCCAGCAUCACCAUAUGUGAAAAUUACACAUUUCCAUGCUUUGUAGUAAAC